rnacentral:rRNA from 1 species
UACGUAGGGUGCAAGCGUUAAUCGGAAUUACUGGGCGUAAAGCGUGCGCAGGCGGUUAUGUAAGACAGGUGUGAAAUCCCCGGGCUUAACCCGGGAACUGCAUUUGUGACUGCAUAGCUAGAGUACGGUAGAGGGGGAUGGAAUUCCGCGUGUAGCAGUGAAAUGCGUAGAUAUGCGGAGGAACACCGAUGGCGAAGGCAAUCCCCUGGACCUGUACUGACGCUCAUGCACGAAAGCGU